UAACUCAUCCCGCUUCACUGCGUACUGGAAAUACACAGUUAUGUUGUCUCAAUAACAGAUGGAAGCCUGAGCUUUUUCCUUCUUGCACUGGAAGCACAAAGCAGUCAGGCAGAAACCCACCUGCGGCUGGUAGGAGUACACUCCUGAAGCCAAUGAUGCUUAUUCCAACGAAGUAAGAUUGACAGAACUGAUGCAACAGUCCAAGGAACCUGCACACAUCAGAGCCUUGCUCCGGUUGACUGAACUAUGUGAAGAAAAUAAAGAUGAUUAUAAUAAGACUACGUGAAGCUGAGAGGUCCUGCACGAGCAUUUCAUUUUCAGAGAUAAGUGUUGGAUACAAAGAUGACUCACUGAUUUUCACCUUAAACUGAAAUAACAGAUUUUUAACAGUUUCUCUAUCACUGACUCUUUGUUGUGUAUUUUGGUGUUUUUACAGAGACUUCACACUUUGGUGGGCCAGCUCUGACCCUGGGAUCAUCUGGGAUUGUAACACUAUAAUAUCUACACACUGAUGGGAUUUUCUGACAAAGUUUUCUUCAGGAACAGAAAUUCUGUCAGAAGAAGAAAAAUCUGUAGGAAAAGAUCUCCGGGGAAGAAUGUGUAGGAAAUGGACACACGUACUGAACACAGCUCAAGGAAAUGGAGUCAGGGUGAUCUGUGCAAAGAUACCACCACAGGAUGGAGCCCCGCCUAAUGUCUUUAAUGCUGAAAGCAGCUUCUGUUUUUUCUUUCUUCCUUUUUUUAAAGAUACCGGCCUUGCUUUGCCACAUUCACCUUUGCUUCCUUCCUUUAACAAUACACUUCCUUCCUCUGUUUUCCCGCAUUCAGCUCUUUCUUCAACGGCGUCCUCCACAGACAAAGUGAUUGAUUCUCAGUAGAAAUGCCUUCAGAGUGAACAGGAAAUUACAGUAACCAUGUGGACAAACCCUUUACCCUCUCACAGUGGUUACGAUUUAAAGUACAGCAAGCAGUUUGAGUGUUUUAUAUACAAUUACUGCCCGCUUUACAAAUACUGCUCUGCAAGCAUUCAUUGUAAAACGCUUCAUGAAUUUAUAACAAAUGCAUUUAUGUGACUAUAUGAGGCUGUUAAUACAUGAGUAUUAAUUCUGUUAAUGUUCAAUAUGGAGGCAGUUUCAUUUAGUUUAUACACAAUGUUUCACAACAUAGGGGUCAGGUCCCUCAAUAGGGUCACCAGAUACAGCUAAGAGGUCGAGAAAUGAACAACUAAAGUCAGAAACUUCUCUUUCUCAGAAAAUUGCACGAAUGCAGCUUUAUAUGGCCCCUUAAUUUCUUUUCAAUAAGGAGAGAUUAUUAGAGGGAACUGAACAUCAUUUGUUGAUGCACAGAAUGCAGUUUGAUGUUGACUGCUAUAAGCUGCUGUCUUUGAUAUUGAGUGGUCUCUGGAAACUUGUUUCCAGCUCUAGAUUUUAUUCUUGGACUGUACUAGAGCAGCUUUGUGUGAUCCACAGUUACAAAUAAUACUUUUUUACCUUAUACUUGACGUCAGUGCCCAGGUUAAGCUCCUCCCCAUUUAAGAAAAUGUCCGUCUCAUUGGCCGCUCCACAAAGAGAGAAAGUUUAAAGAGCUGGUAGGUGGGGAGUCUGUGGAUGAGAUGACAUGCUCUCUAUGACAUCAGACAGACAAGGAGUGGAAAAAACUAUGUAAAAACGCAUUUGUCUCAAAGAUAUUACUCACACACACAAUCACCUCAAUGUUAGAAACUUUGGCCAUGUGUAAUAUGAACAUCCACUGUUAGAACAGCUUAUAGAAAAUAAGGAAAAGCUUAGUUUUCACUUGAAUAAAUUACCAGAGUUUCUUGGAGAACAUUUUUAAAAUGAA